UCCCAGACUCCUACGGGAGGCAGCAGUGGGGAAUAUUGCACAAUGGGGGAAACCCUGAUGCAGCAACGCCGCGUGGGUGAAGGAGCGUUUCGGCGCGUAAAGCCCUGUCAGCGGGGAAGAAGAAAGACGGUACCCGACCAAGAAGCCCCGACUAACUACGUGCCAGCAGCCGCGGUAAUACGUAGGGGGCGAGCGUUAUCCGGAAUUACUGGGUGUAAAGGGAGCGUAGACGGCGAGGUAAGCCUGAUGUGAAAGCCCGCGGCCCAACCGCGGGACUGCAUUGGGAACUACCGGGCUGGAGUGCCGGAGAGGUAGGCGGAAUUCCUAGUGUAGCGGUGAAAUGCGUAGAUAUUAGGAGGAACACCAGUGGCGAAGGCGGCCUACUGGACGGUGACUGACGCUGAGGCUCGAAAGCGUGGGGAGCAAACAGGAUUAGAUACCCCAGUAGA
rnacentral:rRNA from 1 species